rnacentral:rRNA from 1 species
UAGGGAAUCUUCCGCAAUGGACGCAAGUCUGACCGAGCAACGCCGCGUGAGUGAAGAAGGAUUUCGGUUCGUAAAACUCUGUUGUUAGAGAAGAACAGCGCAUAGAGUAACUGUUAUGCGUGUGACGGUAUCUAACCAGAAAGCCACGGCUAACUACGUGCCAGCAGCCGCGGUAAUACGUAGGUGGCAAGCGUUGUCCGGAUUUAUUGGGCGUAAAGCGAGCGCAGGCGGUUAGAAAAGUCUGAAGUGAAAGGCAGUGGCUCAACCAUUGUAGGCUUUGGAAACUGUUUAACUUGAGUGCAGAAGGGGAGAGUGGAAUUCCAUGUGUAGCGGUGAAAUGCGUAGAUAUAUGGAGGAACACCGGUGGCGAAAGCGGCUCUCUGGUCUGUAACUGACGCUGAGGCUCGAAAGCGUGGGGAGCGAACAGG